AGAAUCAACGCUGGCGGCGUGCCUAACACAUGCAAGUCGAACGCGAAAGCCCCGCAAGGGUUAGUAGAGUGGCAAACGGGUGAGUAACACGUGGGUGAUCUGCCUCAGAGUGGGGGAUAACGACCCGAAAGGGUCGCUAAUACCGCAUAACAUCCUGCCUUUGGAUAGGUGGAGAUCAAAGCUAGGGACCGCAAGGCCUGGCGCUUGGAGAGGAGCCCGCGGCCGAUUAGCUAGUUGGUGAGGUAAUGGCUCACCAAGGCAACGAUCGGUA
rnacentral:rRNA from 1 species